AUCCUUGUGUAGUUUCACAAACGUGGAAAUUGGGUGUUCCCUUGCAUGUGAGACGUGCUCCCCCCACCCUUGGUGUGACGCGAGCACAUUACCCAGUCGGACA